AUUGAACGCUGGCGGCAUGCCUUACACAUGCAAGUCGAACGGCAGCACGGGAGCAAUCCUGGUGGCGAGUGGCGAACGGGUGAGUAAUAUAUCGGAACGUGCCCAGUCGUGGGGGAUAACGUAGCGAAAGCUACGCUAAUACCGCAUACGAUCUAUGGAUGAAAGCGGGGGAUCGCAAGACCUCGCGCGAUUGGAGCGGCCGAUAUCAGAUUAGGUAGUUGGUGAGGUAAAGGCUCACCAAGCCGACGAUCUGUAGCUGGUCUGAGAGGACGACCAGCCACACUGGGACUGAGACACGGCCCAGACUCCUACGGGAGGCAGCAGUGGGGAAUUUUGGGCAAUGGGCGCAAGCCUGAUUCAGCAAUGCCGCGUGCAGGAUGAAGGCCUUCGGGUUGUAAACUGCUUUUGUACGGAGCGAAAAGGCUUCCACUAAUACUGGGGGCUCAUGACGGUACCGUAAGAAUAAGCACCGGCUAACUACGUGCCAGCAGCCGCCGUAAUAC
rnacentral:rRNA from 1 species